rnacentral:tRNA from 1 species
GAGGGUAUAGCUCAGUGUUAGAGCAUGUGCUUAGCAUGCACUAGAUCCUGGGCUCAAUCUCCAGUACCUCCA